GAUGAACGCUGGCGGCGUGCCUAAUACAUGCAAGUCGAGCGAACAGACGAGGAGCUUGCUCCUCUGACGUUAGCGGCGGACGGGUGAGUAACAUGUGGAUAACCUACCUAUAAGACUGGGGUGACUUCGGGAAACCGGAGCUAAUACCGGAUAAUAUAUUGAACCGGGUUGGGCAAUAGUGAAAGACGGUUUUGCUGUGACUUAUAGAUUGAUCCGCGCCGGAUUAGCUAGUUGGUAAGGUAACGGCUUACCAAGGCUAGGAUGGGUAACCGCCCUGAAGGGGUGGACGCACACCCUGGCAGAGAGGAACGGCCCAGACUCCUAGGGUGGGCAACAGUAGGGACUCUUACGGAAUGGACGAAAGCCUGACGGAGCAACGCCGCGUGAGGGAUGAAGGACUUCGGAUCGUAAAGCUAUGUAAUUCGUAAAGAACUAAUGUGUAAGUAACUAUGCACAUCUUGACGGUACCUAAACAGAAAGCCCCGGCUAACUACGUG
rnacentral:rRNA from 1 species